rnacentral:rRNA from 1 species
UACGAAGGGGGCUAGCGUUGCUCGGAAUCACUGGGCGUAAAGCGCACGUAGGCGGCUUUCUAAGUCAAGGGUGAAAUCCUGGAGCUCAACUCCAGAACUGCCUUUGAUACUGGGGAGCUCGAGUCCGGAAGAGGUAAGUGGAACUCCGAGUGUAGAGGUGAAAUUCGUAGAUAUUCGGAAGAACACCAGUGGCGAAGGCGGCUUACUGGUCCGGUACUGACGCUGAGGUGCGAAAGCGUGGGGAGCAAACAGG